rnacentral:rRNA from 1 species
AGGGUUUGAUCAUGGCUCAGAACGAACGCUGGCGGCAUGGAUUAGGCAUGCAAGUUGAACGAACCACUUCGGUGGUGAGUAGCGGAAGGGUGAGGAACGCGUGAGUAAUCUGCCCCCUAGUUGGGAAUAACAGUUGGAAACGACUGCUAAUACCGAAUGUGGCUGCAUUUCCGCAUGGAGAUGCGGCUAAAGAUUUAUCGCUAGGGGAUGAGCUCGCGUCCCAUUAGGUAGUUGGUGAGGUAACGGCUCACCAAGCCGACGAUGGGUAGCUGGUCUGAGAGGAUGGUCAGCCACACUGGGACUGAGACACUGCCCAG